rnacentral:rRNA from 1 species
UACGAACUGUGCAAACGUUAUUCGGAAUCACUGGGCUUAAAGGGUGCGUAGGCGGCUUGUUAAGCAGGGUGUGAAAGCCCCGGGCUCAACCCGGGAAUUGCGCCCUGAACUGGCGAGCUGGAGUGAGGCAGGGGUGUGUGGAACUUCCGGUGGAGCGGUGAAAUGUGUUGAUAUCGGAAGGAACGCCUGUGGCGAAAGCGACACACUGGGCCUUAACUGACGCUGAGGCACGAAAGCCAGGGGAGCAAACGGG